GCAGUCGAGCGAUGGAUUAAGAGCUUGCUCUUAUGAAGUUAGCGGCGGACGGGUGAGUAACACGUGGGUAACCUGCCCAUAAGACUGGGAUAACUCCGGGAAACCGGGGCUAAUACCGGAUAACAUUUUGAACUGCAUGGUUCGAAAUUGAAAGGCGGCUUCGGCUGUCACUUAUGGAUGGACCCGCGUCGCAUUAGCUAGUUGGUGAGGUAACGGCUCACCAAGGCAACGAUGCGUAGCCGACCUGAGAGGGUGAUCGGCCACACUGGGACUGAGACACGGCCCAGACUCCUACGGGAGGCAGCAGUAGGGAAUCUUCCGCAAUGGACGAAAGUCUGACGGAGCAACGCCGCGUGAGUGAUGAAGGCUUUCGGGUCGUAAAACUCUGUUGUUAGGGAAGAACAAGUGCUAGUUGAAUAAGCUGGCACCUUGACGGUACCUAACCAGAAAGCCACGGCUAACUACGUGCCAGCAGCCGCGGUAAUACGUAGGUGGCAAGCGUUAUCCGGAAUUAUUGGGCGUAAAGCGCGCGCAGGUGGUUUCUUAAGUCUGAUGUGAAAGCCCACGGCUCA
rnacentral:rRNA from 1 species